UAUGAACGCUGGCGGCGUGCCUAAUACAUGCAAGUCGAGCGAACGGACGAGAAGCUUGCUUCUCUGAUGUUAGCGGCGGACGGGUGAGUAACGCGUGGAUAACCUACCUAUAAGACUGGGAUAACUUCGGGAAACCGGAGCUAAUACCGGAUAAUAUUUUGAACCGCAUGGUUCAAAAGUGAAAGACGGUCUUGCUGUCACUUAUAGAUGGAUCCGCGCUGCAUUAGCUAGUUGGUAAGGUAACGGCUUACCAAGGCAACGAUGCAUAGCCGACCUGAGAGGGUGAUCGGCCACACUGGAACUGAGACACGGUCCAGACUCCUACGGGAGGCAGCAGUAGGGAAUCUUCCGCAAUGGGCGAAAGCCUGACGGAGCAACGCCGCGUGAGUGAUGAAGGUCUUCGGAUCGUAAAACUCUGUUAUUAGGGAAGAACAUAUGUGUAAGUAACUGUGCACAUCUUGACGGUACCUAAUCAGAAAGCCACGGCUAACUACGUG
rnacentral:rRNA from 1 species